AACAGGAAGAAGCCUCGAGGGGACAUGGCGGCGGUGGCGGAGGGGAACGAGGAGCACUUCGGGGGCUUUGAUUUCAGUGGCCCCUUGUGUUCUAAGUGCCCUGGGCUAUUUCCCCAGAUGCCCAUUGCUAGGACCAGGUUUGUCGAGAAAGCUAUUUCUAAAGAUUCUUUUCAAAGCAAAACUCCAUCAGUGCGAAAGAUGAGCAUACAUCAUACCGACGCUGGGCUCGAUGUGCCAUAAUUACAGCUGAAACCUAAAUAAGACCCCACAUCCUGCAGCAAGACUUUGAACUAACAGGCUGGCAGUUUUGAGGAACAUACGCCAAUUCCUCUAUCUGAUGACAAGCUUUUCUAAAUGUGUCGGAGCACCUGCAAAACAUUUUCAUCUCAGUUGUAGUUUUCUUUAAGAUGUGUCUCUGAAGACAGAGCUUGAUCUAAGAAGUCAAUGCACCUUCCUGUCUUGAAACUUCUUAGUCUGGUCUAAUCACAUCUCAGCUACCAACCUGCCCCAGUUUUUCUUCUUAGCUAAUUUUCUUCAACAUACAUCACUGAAUUUACUAAAUGAUAUACUAUGUGCAA